rnacentral:rRNA from 1 species
UACGGAGGAUGCAAGCGUUAUCCGGAAUGAUUGGGCGUAAAGCGUCCGCAGGUGGCAAUGUAAGUCUGCUGUCAAAGCGUCUGGCUCAACCAGAUAAAGGCAGUGGAAACUACAUAGCUAGAGUAAGGUAGGGGUAGAGGGAAUUCCUGGUGUAGCGGUGAAAUGCGUAGAUAUCGGGAAGAACACCAGUGGCGAAAGCGCUCUACUGGGCCAUAACUGACACUGAGGGACGAAAGCUAGGGGAGCGAAAGGG